rnacentral:rRNA from 1 species
GACGAACGCUGGCGGCAUGCCUAAUACAUGCAAGUCGAGCGAACAGAUGAAGUGCUUGCACUUCUGACGUUAGCGGCGAACGGGUGAGUAACACGUAAGGAAUCUACCUAUAGGCGGGGGAUAACAUUCGGAAACGGGUGCUAAUACCGCAUAAUAUCUUCUUCCGCAUGGAAGAAGAUUGAAAGACGGCUCUGCUGUCACUUAUAGAUGACCUUGCGGUGCAUUAGUUAGUUGGUGGGGUAACGGCCUACCAAGACGAUGAUGCAUAGCCGACCUGAGAGGGUGAUCGGCCACAUUGGGACUGAGACACGGCCCAAACUCCUACGGGAGGCAGCAGUAGGGAAUCUUCCGCAAUGGGCGAAAGCCUGACGGAGUAAUGCCGCGUGAGUGAAGAAGGCCUUCGGGUCGUAAAACUCUGUUAUAAGAGAAGAACAAAUUGUAGAGUAACUGCUACAGUCUUGACGGUAUCUUAUCAGAAAGCCACGGCUAACUACGUGCCAGCCGCCGCCGUAA